rnacentral:lncRNA from 1 species
UUAAUGAAACCCGCCAGUUAUUAUGAACUCAAAUAAAAAAAUAUGGAUUUUGAAGGCUUGUUCAAAAGAAAAAAAGACGUGGGUGGCAUUAUGACUGGUGUGUCAGUUAGAAAGGUUCUUACAAUGUUCGUUCAAUCAAGCAGCAUCCUUUUUUUCUUAACUUAAGGAGAGGGAAGAGGGCUUUCUAAGAAGGGCUUGGGACCUAUGAACAGAACAACACAACAAAAUGAUGAAAUGAAGAAGAAUGAACGGGAGGCAUCGGAGGAAGGACUGACGAACUUCUUACUUGUGUUUGGUUAACUACUUUACUGACUUGGGGUUCUUUCUCGUAAGUGGUAUACCUACACCCCGCACGCNNNNNNNNNACUUUCAAAAGAAAUUGAACAUGAUUUUUGCAUGUAAGUUGUAUACCUACACCCCGCACGCACACUCACUAUAUCUAUUUACGUAUAAGUUUCUAGCCUUUCGAA